UCUUUCCACUGGCCCCAUUCUCUUACAAGCUGAGCUGGGAGUGACGUGGGCUUGGGAGGCAGAGGAGCAGAUUUGUUCACUCAACAUUUACCCAAGACUUGCCAAGGCAGACGGCAGCGCAGAGGCGCCCAGGGACGGGGGCCUCCCUUGCUCUACGUUCCCAAGCUGCGUUCCUAGCUCUGUUGCAUCCAGGGGCAGCACCUGCAGCACCUCGGUGACGCUCUCUCCCUCUUGCCUUCACAUCUCAUUUCAUCCCCGUCUCCUCUCCCAGGGGCCACACUCUCGCUCGCUCACGGAUCCCAAGCCCUGAGCCCUCUCGAGCUCCUGGCCGCCACCAUCAGAGGCCCUGGGCAUUUGUUUUCCCGCCGCACAGGACUGCACACUGAUACAUUUGUACCGCAGGAAGCAGAAAACUAGUUUAACAUCUCAUUUAUUUCAUAGAUGAGAAAGUAAUUCCCUGCUGAAUGAUUGUCCCGAACCAACAAUUCAGAGAGGAGGAAUUUACAGUGCUGCCAAGGACCGGGGUGCAUUACUGUAGCGCCGUUAUAUAACGGAGCUGGGACCUUUUUUUCCUCUCCUGUUAGCCUGAAGAGAAAAGCCAUUAAAUAUGAUUAAGGUUAAGAGAUUGCUAAAAUUACAAACAGCCGCCAUUCAAUUAUUUUGCUCUAUAAAAUGCAACACAGAUUGGAGUUAUUUCUCUGAAAUGUGUUUUUAGAAAAUAACAUAACACAGCUAACUAAUGUGGUUUGAUCUAGCAAAUCAGGUUCCAGAUACCACUUCUAAUGCAAAGCUAAAAGGUUCAUAAUUUAACUCAAAGUUGGUAACUUAAAGUCGUCAGGUGCUUACUUUAUAGAAAAGCUUUAUAAAGAGAAAAAAAUCAAUACCAUGCCAACUAAUAUUCUGAAGUCAUCUACAGCCAGAGAUUCAAUCAAUUUUAUCACCCAUUAAAGGGAUAGACACAAAAAAUAUUAAAAAAAAAAAAAAAAGAUUCUUAAAGAACCAGCAACAACUUGGCCUAACAGGUCCGUAGUUGAGGAUGGCGGGGGGUCUGGGGGGCAAAUCUCUCUAAUAUUUUGUCAGAUUUCACAGGGCCCACAUUGGGUCCUGAGGGCGUUUGUUCUCAGCCAAGGCAGCUGGGAAAUGGAAAAGAAACUCCUCCCAAUCUAUUCAAUCCAUAUGGCUCCAGAGACCAUUCCCGGUGGCAGAGAGAAGUCCGGGAGGACAGCCUCUCGCUGCCGCUGGACUUAUGGUUCACACAGCAGAUGACUUACUCUUGGCUUAAAAAGAAUAAAAAGCUCAACUGCAC
rnacentral:lncRNA from 1 species